AUGCUAAAUGUCUCCAAAUCUUUUCUGAUGAAGAAACAAACUCAUUUACAUCUUCAGUGGCCUGGGGGAAAACAGACUUUUAAGUCCAAGAAACCAUUUGCAUGUGUUUCAGCAAGGUGCGUCAAAACCAAGCACAAUCACCAGGAUCCACUGAAGUUUUGCAAUGGUUAUUUAAGUGUGAAAAGCUGCGGGCCCAAGAUAUGUUUGGUCCCUUUGACAGCUUUAAAACGCUAAGGGUGAAACUGACCCAAUAUGUUUAUAAUGUUUGAGUUAAUCACAUUGUCUGUAAACAUUUAACUGGAAGUUUAUUUAUAUAGACAAAUGCUUUGUGAUGUUUAUGCAAAUGACGUGAUGUAACAUUCUCAGCUCUGAGAAAACCCCAAGGUGUCUUUUCAACCAUUGACAAGAUGCAAUCACUGCAACAGAUACACAUGCCCUAAAGCAAUCCAGCUUGUCAAAUGAAAAUGCUAACAAUGUACCACAAAGUAUUUUAGUUAAAUCUGAGUAUUUGGUUGCACAUUCAAUUCUUUAACCGCAAAAAAGAAACCAGUCAGUUCUAGUUUAAUGUAAUUGCUGUUGGCGUUGAAAACCUACCCGAUUAAAUUACAUUACAUUUUAAGUGCAGGAAUACAGAAUAGUUACCACUCGGUUGGUGAAUAAAAGCAUAGGCGCUGACUGAUUUCCUUGAUGUAAAUACUGCUGUAUGAUUUCUGGGAAAUCACAGGUUUCUGGUGGAACCAGUCCCGCAGAGUUAUUGCACAAAGUGCCACAUUUGUUUCUUUUUCUUCUAACAGAGCACACCAGUUAUUUUGUUUGAAGAGGCCAUGCAAGAUGGUGAACAUUUCAUAGCUUGUACAAACAAACACACAGCCCAUGCUUGGUCAACAGCAGUUGUGCCAGUAAAUAUUCAAAUUAUAAUAUUUGGUUUUAGUGGAUUUAUGCCAUUUUUACAGUCGAUUAUUAUUUAUCACAUCUCAGAUUUGCUAUCAAGGGACUGUGCACAUGCACAGUAACAUUACACACUAUAACUGUUACUAAAAACCUCAUUACAUUUGAUUUUUGUUAAGUUGUAUAAACUCUUCCUGGCCAGAACUGCGAAUAUCACACUUCACUCAUAUCUGUCAUACUACUCCAUAUUCUUACUUUCCCUUAUUCUUGUUCAUUCUACUCCUAUAUAUGGUUUUUAUGUUUUCAGAAUCUGUUUUCUUGACUAACUAAGCUCCCAUUUAGUCCUUUGAUUUGAUUUUUGAAUGGUAUGUGUAUUAAAACGUCCUAUUAAAUUAGUAAAAUGCAAGGAAUUACCACAGUGUAGUAGUUGGAAGCAAUGCCCUCUUGUGGCCAAUGUAUAUGACAAAGUAGCAAUGAUGUCUCUCAUAUGUGUUCAAUGAGAAUAUAUCUAUAUAUUUUAAAAUGAGAAUAUAUCUAUAUCACUAAACAUCACCAAACCCCAAGAAAGCAAUAGGAUUAAAGCCCGGAUCCAAGUGUUAGUUUAACUGAAUGAGGUCAACGGUUCUUGUUCUCCAUAGGGAUUAUAGGCCUUAAGGGGUGGAUGCCAAAAAGAGAUAUAACAAGUUUGUUCAGCUUUAUGUCUUUUAGCAUGUAUUGUGGAAGGUAUAAAUCAAAGACCUUUAAUCAUUCAUUGCUAAAAAAAAACUGAAGAAAUGAAUGUAACUCUCUUUCACAUACUCUUGAUUAAAAAUAUAAUUUAUGAUCCAUAGGUAUAGGUAUAACAUGUUUGAACUCCCCUUCCACUAAACACAGAAUUUGAUUUAAAUUUAUGUAUUUGAGAGACACUCGCAUGACUUAGAUUAAUACAUAUUAGUAUACACAUAUAAUACAUAUUAUUAAAGAAGUUUAAAGUAAAAAUGUUACACCUUCAAUGUCAAUGGGAAAUCAAAACUGAAAUGUAUUUCUUAAUGCACCACUCUUUGUCUUACUCUGCAUGAUUCACUGAUGCGUGUUAUUCCUAUUAAAUAAAAAUGUUGCAUUAUUUUUUUUGUUUUUCCCCCCUCUGACACUACUUCCUUUUUUAUAAAACACUUUUACUUUUUAAUCCUUUUCCCUUCAGUCACCUGACUCCAUUCACGUGGGCGAUGCUCUCAUCAUGGUCCAAUCAACUGCUGAUGGAUAAAAUCAACCACUACAUUUUUUCUCACUGAAUAUCUUUCUUGCGCUUGGAAAAAUGCCAAUUACGGAAGAAAUUUGGUUGCAUGGAGUAUUUCAUGUUCACUAGCUAUGCUGCUUCACAGCCACAUUCAUGCCAGAUUCUAAAACGAACAGACCCUAUCAAGAAUUAAAAUUCUAAUUUGAAUGUACUGUCAUCAUCAUUUUUGAUAUAUGAAAGAAGUGUAUUAUGUAAGAAGGAAAUGCUGCAUUAAACAUUGAAGUGCUAUUAAUCUUGUUCUCUUUAUGUCUUUUAGGUUUUUUGUUUUGCAAUACCAAACAACACAAAGGCAGUUUUGUUGAAAUACUUAUUGAUUAAUGGAUGUCAAAGAGAGGUGAUGCCAAGGCAUGCAGUAGGAAUACUUUGGCCCAUGACAACAUUUCCAGUCAACACAGUGGUAAAAAUCAUUAAAAUGCCUGGUUGAGCAAUUUGAGCAUUGACUUCUAAUGAGAGAAUGGCUUUCAAUGGUUGAAUGCUGAAUGAAUCUCAAGAACUUUGAUUGAGAAAGAGAGUAUACUGUGGCCUAGCUGUCGUCCUGUACAUCUUGUCCAGAUAUAUAUAACUAUAUAUACACACUGACCCUAUUAUUGUUUGCAUGAUCAGCAUACUGCCUGUGCCCACUAUGUAUAAAACUGGAGGAACUGAUGUAAUUCUAUAGAUUGUUGUAAAAUCAUCCAAAAUAUAUAUAUAUAUAUAUAUAUAUAUAUAUAUAUAUAUAUAUAUAUAUAUAUAUAUAUAUAUAUAUAUAUAUAUAUAUAUAUACACACACACACACACAAAUAUGAUCUCAUUCUCAUACUUUUCUC
ensembl:lncRNA